ACAGUGAUAGAAGCAGCAUAGGGACCUGCACAAAAGCCCAAAGAAGGAAAAAAGGUGAGAUAUUUUGGGAAAGAAAAGGGAUGGAUGACGGGAAUGCUUAAAGAGACAAAUAGAACAUUCUUUCUAUAGUUCCUUUUACCCUGGAAAGAUAAAAGAGCUCAUGGGGGUUCUAAACAAUGGAAGAAAGGAAGAACUUGGAACUUCUGUACUCAGUCAAGCUAUUUGAAAUCAUGGAACUAUUCAAUGAACUUUUUUUCCCUUUCCAGUUUUGGAAGUAAAUGUACCUCUGGAUCCCCUCAUGGACAUGCACCCAUGGAAAAUCAGGACUAAUAUCUGGCUUUUCAUCUCCUGUUUUACAACACUUUUGAACACCUGAGGAAAGAAUGAGUUAUUGGAAUAAGUCUUAGCACUGUGAGCAGCAACUGGACCAGGGACUAAACUCACAGUUGUACCAAAGGUGGAGAAAUCAACUAAAUCAGAAGAUGGCAGCAUUGGGAAAACAACACCUCUGCCAACAAUUUUCCAUACAAAGAACUUGGAGGACAUACAUGAACAGAACAGAUCCUCUUCGACAACACAGAUGCCCUGCACGGACAAGUUCGACAGCAGCAUGAUAACAAUACUGCCAGAUCCUGAAGGGCACAGAGUGAACAUGCUGUCCAUGGCUGUGUUGGGCCUGAGAGUCCUGCUGGCAAAGAGCAUCGCCUUCAAUACC